rnacentral:lncRNA from 11 species
GAAAUAGAUCGGAACAUCAUUCUACUUAAUGUGCUCUAGGAAUCACUUUGUCACUUUGAAGUUCCAGUCUGACAAACAACUAUAAUUCUUAAUGGAAUCGUUACAUCACAUCUUUUCUUUGGUUGGAGUUGAUCUGUCCAUCUCAAAAAUGGCAUAGAAAAGCUACAUGUAAAGAUGGGAGCUGUUUCCAUACUAAGCUACUGUCUGCCAUCAGUAAUGGGUGAUCAUGAAUACCUAAUCCAGACAAGACAGAGUUGGUCCUGGUCAGACAGAAGGAAGAUUAGAAAAUAGGGAUUCUCUGAUAGUUCAAGCCUGCAACUUGGGUUCACUCCUGGAAUUGCCACCCAACCCCAACCCAGAUUUCUAAAAUAAAAUGUUCCAGAAGACUAGAA